rnacentral:rRNA from 1 species
ACUCCUACGGGAGGCAGCAGUGGGGAAUAUUGCACAAUGGGGGAAACCCUGAUGCAGCCAUGCCGCGUGUGUGAAGAAGGCCUUCGGGUUGUAAAGCACUUUCAGUAGGGAGGUAAGGUAGUGUAGUUAACACCUGCAUUAUUUGACGUUACCUACAGAAGAAGCACCGGCUAACUCCGUGCCAGCAGCCGCGGUAAUACGGAGGGUGCGAGCGUUAAUCGGAAUUACUGGGCGUAAAGCGCAUGCAGGCGGCCUGUUAAGUCAGAUGUGAAAGCCCGGGGCUUAACCUCGGAAUUGCAUUUGAAACUGGCAGGCUAGAGUCUUGUAGAGGGGGUAGAAAUUUCAGGUGUAGCGGUGAAAUGCGUAGAGAUCUGAAGG